rnacentral:tmRNA from 2 species
ACACUUUUUUUUCACUUGCAGCCGUCAUAUAUUCAAAUCGCUGGAGCGAUCCAGCUAUGGCGAUAAACGCGGUCGUAAUAAGCCGUUCGGACCCGGGGGCGGUACCCGGCGCCUCCACCACAUGCCCACGCGCAAAAUGCGAAAGAGCCGUUUGGCCGCGUGUGCGUGGGUAUCUGAUGGGGGCGAAAUAGGAUCGACGAAGGUGUAAAGGGCUUAGCUUUUGCUCGGCAUGGUUCCGCCGUUAUCGGGCCGAUCAUAAUAGUUGCAAAUGACAACUAUGCUGAGGCCGCUGUCGCUGCGUAAUGCAGUGCCAAAAGCCUGAACUUGAAGUCCUUAUCCUAGCUGGGUAAGGCGCGGUAUCGGAGGGCACCGGGCAACAGAAGCCCUCCACU